CGGUAAUUCCAGCUCCAAUAGCGUAUACUAAAGUUGUUGCAGUUAAAAAGCUCGUAGUUGGAUUUCUGUGUGAGAGGGACGGGAAGGCGCAAGCGUUUUUUCUGACCUUUUGCACAUCCUGUCGCAAACCACGGUGCUCUUUACUGUAGUGUCGUUGGGGAUCGACUCGUUUACUUUGAGAAAAAUAGAGUGUUCAAAGCAGGGUAUGCCUCUGAAUAAGUUAGCAUGGAAUAAUGAUAAAGGACUUCGGUUCAUUUUGUUGGUGUUUGGGACUGAAGUAAUGAUUGAUAGGGACAGUUGGGGGCAUCAGUAUUCAAAAGCGAGAGGUGAAAUUCUUAGACCUUUUGAAGACUAACCGCUGCGAAAGCGUUUGCCAAGGAUGUUCCCUNUGAUCAAGAACUAAAGUNUGGGGAUCGAAGACGAUCAGANACCGUCGUAGUCUGAACUAUAAACUAUACCAGCUAGGGAUCGGCCGGCGUAAUAUUUAAGGAUUCGGUCGGCACCUUAUGAGAAAUUAAAGCAUUUGGGUUCCGGGGGGAGUAUGGUCGCAAGGCUGAAACUUAAAGGAAUUGACGGAAGGGCACCACCAGGUGUGGAGCCUGUGGCUUAAUUUGACUCAACACGGGAAAACUUACCAGGUCCAGACAUAGUAAGGAUUGACAGAUUGAGAGCUCUUUCUUGAUUCUAUGGGUGGUGGUGCAUGGCCGUUCUUAGUUGGUGGAGUGAUUUGUCUGGUUAAUUUCGUUAACGAACGAGACCCCAGCCUGCUAAAUAGCUGAAGUAAGGUUUUCCUUGCUAUGAGCUUCUUAGAGGGACCAUAGACUCGUCUACAGACUAGGGAAGUUUGGGGCAAUAACAGGUCUGUGAUGCCCUUAGAUGUUCUGGGCCGCACACGGGCUACACUGACGCCUGCAACGAGCAUAUCAGCUGGUCCGAAAGGAUCUUGGCUAAUCUUUUGAACNUGCGUCGUGCUAGGGAUUGACUAUUGCAAUUGUUAGUCAUGCAACGAGGAAUACCUUGUAAACGCGAGUCAUCAACUCGCAUUGAAUACGUCCCUGCCCCUUGUACACACCGCCC
rnacentral:rRNA from 1 species